UACGUAGGGUGCAAGCGUUGUCCGGAAUUAUUGGGCGUAAAGAGCUCGUCGGCGGUCUGUCGCGUCUGCUGUGAAAACUCAGGGCUUAACCCUGAGCUUGCAGUGGGUACGGGCAGACUAGAGUGCGGUAGGGGAGACUGGAAUUCCUGGUGUAGCGGUGAAAUGCGCAGAUAUCAGGAGGAACACCGGUGGCGAAGGCGGCUCUCUAGUACGGUACUGACGCUGAGACGCGAAAGCGUGGGGAGCGAACAGG
rnacentral:rRNA from 1 species